ACGGAAGGCAGCAGUGGGGAAUAUUGGGCAAUGGGCGCAAGCCUGACCCAGCAACGCCGCGUGAAGGAAGACGGUCUUCGGAUUGUAAACUUCUUUAAUUGGGGAAGAAUAAAUGACCUACCCAAAGAAUAAGUCACGGCUAACUACGUGCCAGCAGCCGCGGUAAUACGUAGGGGACAAGCGUUAUCCGGAUUUACUGGGCGUAAAGGGCGUGUAGGCGGUUUGGCAAGUCAGAAGUGAAAUUCCGGAGCUCAACGCGGGCGCUGCUUCCGAAACUGCUAGACUUGAGUGCUGGAGGGGAUAGCGGAAUUCCGAGUGGAGCGGUAAAAUGCGCAGAUAUUAGGAAGAACACCGGUGGCGAAGGCGGCUAUCUGGACAGUAACUGACGCUGAGGCGCGAAAGUGUGGGGAGCAAACAGGAUUAGAUACCCUGGUA
rnacentral:rRNA from 1 species